UUCCACGAUGAAAGCGCUGAAUAGGAAGUGCCGUCUGAUGCGAUAACUGACGAUGGUACAGCGGUUCUGAGA
ensembl:snoRNA small nucleolar RNA SNORD49